rnacentral:rRNA from 1 species
UGCGUAGGAGGUUGCGUAAGUCAGAUGUGAAAUCUCACCGCUUAACGGUGAAACUGCAUUUGAUACUGCGUAGCUCGAGGAUCGGAGAGGAAAACGGAAUUCCUGGUGUAGCGGUGAAAUGCGUAGAUAUCAGGAAGAACACCAAAGGCGUAAGCAGUUUUCUAGACGAUACCUGACUCUGAUGCACGAAGGCUAGGGGAGCAAACG